GAUGAACGCUGGCGGCGUGCUUAACACAUGCAAGUUGAACGAAGUGGCGGAUGGGCGAGUAACACGUUAGGAACCUGCCUUUCACAGGGGAAUAACACUGGGAAACCAGUGCUAAUACCGCAUAGUUAGAGAUGGCCUCGCGCCUGAUAAGCUAGUAGGUGAGGUAACGGCUCACCUAGGUGAUGAACAGUAGCCGGACUGAAGGUUGGUCGGCGGCAGUGGGACUGAGAGACGGCCAAGACACCUACGGGAGGCAGGAGUGGGGAAUAUUGGGCAAUAGCGCAAGCCUGACACAGCAACGCAGAGUGAAGGAAGACGGUGUUCGAAUUGUAAAAUUCUUAAGAAGGUACGCGGUACCUGGAGAAUAAGCCACGGGUAAAUACGGGCCAGCAGCCGCGGUAAUAC
rnacentral:rRNA from 1 species